rnacentral:rRNA from 1 species
GAUGAACGCUGGCGGCGUGCCUAAUACAUGCAAGUCGAGCGAACGGACCAGAAGCUUGCUUCUCUGAUGUUAGCGGCGGACGGGUGAGUAACACGUGGAUAACCUACCUAUAAUACUGGGAUAACUUCGGGAAACCGGAGCUAGUACCGGAUAAUAUUUUGAACCGCAUGGUUCAAAAGUGAAAGACGGUCUUGCUGUCACUUAUAGAUGGAUCCGCGCUGCAUUAGCUAGUUGGUAAGGUAACGGCUUACCAAGGCAACGAUGCAUAGCCGACCUGAGAGGGUGAUCGGCCACACGGGAACUGAGACACGGUCCAGACUCCUACGGGAGGCAGCAGUAGGGAAUCUUCCGCAAUGGGCGAAAGCCUGACGGAGCAACGCCGCGUGAGUGAUGAAGGUCUGCGGAUCGGAAAACUCUGUUAUUAGGGAAGAACAUAUGUGUAAGUAAAUGUGCACAUCUUGACGGUACCUAAUCAGAAAGCCACGGCUAACUACGUG